rnacentral:rRNA from 1 species
UAGGGAAUCUUCGGCAAUGGACGAAAGUCUGACCGAGCAACGCCGCGUGAGUGAAGAAGGUUUUCGGAUCGUAAAACUCUGUUGUUAGAGAAGAACAAGGACGUUAGUAACUGAACGUCCCCUGACGGUAUCUAACCAGAAAGCCACGGCUAACUACGUGCCAGCAGCCGCGGUAAUACGUAGGUGGCAAGCGUUGUCAGGAUUUCUUGGGCGUAAAGCGAGCGCAGGCGGUUUCUUACAUCUGAUGUGAAAGCCCCCGGCUCAACCGGGGAGGGUCAUUGGAAACUGGGAGACUUGAGUGCAGAAGAGGGGCAGGGAAUUCCAUGUGUAGCGGUGAAAUGCGUAGAUAUAUGGAGGAACACCAGUGGCGUAGGCGGCUCUCUGGUCUGUAACUGACGCUGAGGCUCGAAAGCGUGGUGAGCAAACAGG